rnacentral:tRNA from 1 species
GCCUGGGUAGCUCAGUCGGUUAAGCAUCUGACUUUGGUUCAGGUCAUGAUCUCGUGGUUUGUGAGUUCCAGCCCCAUGUCAGGCU